rnacentral:tRNA from 1 species
GGGGCUGUAGCUCAGUGGUAGAGUGGUUGCCUAUAAUGCAUGAGGCCUUAGGUUCAAUUCCUAAUACUACUA